rnacentral:rRNA from 1 species
GCAAGUCGAACGGAGUUUGUUGGAUUGAUCCUUCGGGAGCUUUAGAAUUAACUUAGUGGCGGACUGGUGAGUAACGCGUGAGUAAUCUGCCUAUCACAGGGGGAUAACAGAGGGAAACUUCUGCUAAUACCGCAUAAGACCACAGGAUGGCAUCAUCAAGGGGUCAAAGGUUAGAUCUGGUGAUAGAUGAGCUUGCGUAUCAUUAGCUAGUUGGUGAGGGUAAAGGCCCACCAAGGCAAUGAUGCAUAGCCGAGUUGAGAGACUGAUCGGCCACAUUGGGACUGAGACACGGCCCAAACUCCUACGGGAGGCAGCAGUAGGGAAUCUUCCACAAUGGACGAAAGUCUGAUGGAGCAACGCCGCGUGAGUGAAGAAGGGUUUCGGCUCGUAAAGCUCUGUUGGUAGUGAAGAAAGAUAGAGGUAGUAACUGGCCUUUAUUUGACGGUAAUUACUUAGAAAGUCACGGCUAACUACGUGCCAGCAGCCGCGGUAA